rnacentral:rRNA from 1 species
GAUGAACGCUGGCGGCGUGCCUAAUACAUGCAAGUCGAGCGAACAGAUAAGGAGCUUGCUCCUUUGACGUUAGCGGCGGACGGGUGAGUAACACGUGGGUAACCUACCUAUAAGACUGGGAUAACUUCGGGAAACCGGAGCCAAUACCGGAUAAUAUUUCGAACCGCAUGGUUCGAUAGUGGAAGAUGGUUUUGCUAUCACUUAUAGAUGGACCCGCGCCGUAUUAGCUAGUUGGUAAGGUAACGGCUUACCAAGGCGACGAUACGUAGCCGACCUGAGAGGGUGAUCGGCCACACUGGAACGGAGACACGGUCCAGACUCCUACGGGAGGCAGCAGUAGGGAAUCUUCCGCAAUGGGCGAAAGCCUGACGGAGCAACGCCGCGUGAGUGAUGAAGGUCUUCGGAUCGUAAAACUCUGUUAUUAGGGAAGAACAUACGUGUAAGUAACUGUGCACGUCUUGACGGUACCUAAUCAGAAAGCCACGGCUAACUACGUG